CCAGGAUGUUGGCUUAGAAGCAGCCAUCAUUUAAAGAAAGCGUAAUAGCUCACUGGUCGAGUCGGCCUGCGCGGAAGAUGUAACGGGGCUAAACCAUGCACCGAAGCUGCGGCAGCGACGCUGAUGCGUUGUUGGGUAGGGGAGCGUUCUGUAAGCCUGCGAAGGUGUGCUGUGAGGCAUGCUGGAGGUAUCAGAAGUGCGAAUGCUGACAUAAGUAACGAUAAAGCGGGUGAAAAGCCCGCUCGCCGGAAGACCAAGGGUUCCUGUCCAACGUUAAUCGGGGCAGGGUGAGUCGACCCCUAAGGCGAGGCCGAAAGGCGUAGUCGAUGGGAAACAGGUUAAUAUUCCUGUACUUGGUGUUACUGCGAAGGGGGGACGGAGAAGGCUAUGUUGGCCGGGCGACGGUUGUCCCGGUUUAAGCGUGUAGGCUGGUUUUCCAGGCAAAUCCGGAAAAUCAAGGCUGAGGCGUGAUGACGAGGCACUGCGGUGCUGAAGCAACAAAUGCCCUGCUUCCAGGAAAAGCCUCUAAGCAUCAGGUAACAUCAAAUCGUACCCCAAACCGACACAGGUGGUCAGGUAGAGAAUACCAAGGCGCUUGAGAGAACUCGGGUGAAGGAACUAGGCAAAAUGGUGCCGUAACUUCGGGAGAAGGCACGCUGAUAUGUAGGUGAAGUCCCUCGCGGAUGGAGCUGAAAUCAGUCGAAGAUACCAGCUGGCUGCAACUGUUUAUUAAAAACACAGCACUGUGCAAACACGAAAGUGGACGUAUACGGUGUGACGCCUGCCCGGUGCCGGAAGGUUAAUUGAUGGGGUUAGCGCAAGCGAAGCUCUUGAUCGAAGCCCCGGUAAACGGCGGCCGUAACUAUAACGGUCCUAAGGUAGCGAAAUUCCUUGUCGGGUAAGUUCCGACCUGCACGAAUGGCGUAAUGAUGGCCAGGCUGUCUCCACCCGAGACUCAGUGAAAUUGAACUCGCUGUGAAGAUGCAGUGUACCCGCGGCAAGACGGAAAGACCCCGUGAACCUUUACUAUAGCUUGACACUGAACAUUGAGCCUUGAUGUGUAGGAUAGGUGGGAGGCUUUGAAGUGUGGACGCCAGUCUGCAUGGAGCCGACCUUGAAAUACCACCCUUUAAUGUUUGAUGUUCUAACGUUGACCCGUAAUCCGGGUUGCGGACAGUGUCUGGUGGGUAGUUUGACUGGGGCGGUCUCCUCCUAAAGAGUAACGGAGGAGCACGAAGGUUGGCUAAUCCUGGUCGGACAUCAGGAGGUUAGUGCAAUGGCAUAAGCCAGCUUGACUGCGAGCGUGACGGCGCGAGCAGGUGCGAAAGCAGGUCAUAGUGAUCCGGUGGUUCUGAAUGGAAGGGCCAUCGCUCAACGGAUAAAAGGUACUCCGGGGAUAACAGGCUGAUACCGCCCAAGAGUUCAUAUCGACGGCGGUGUUUGGCACCUCGAUGUCGGCUCAUCACAUCCUGGGGCUGAAGUAGGUCCCAAGGGUAUGGCUGUUCGCCAUUUAAAGUGGUACGCGAGCUGGGUUUAGAACGUCGUGAGACAGUUCGGUCCCUAUCUGCCGUGGGCGCUGGAGAACUGAGGGGGGCUGCUCCUAGUACGAGAGGACCGGAGUGGACGCAUCACUGGUGUUCGGGUUGUCAUGCCAAUGGCACUGCCCGGUAGCUAAAUGCGGAAGAGAUAAGUGCUGAAAGCAUCUAAGCACGAAACUUGCCCCGAGAUGAGUUCUCCCUGACUCCUUGAGAGUCCUGAAGGAACGUUGAAGACGACGACGUUGAUAGGCCGGGUGUGUAAGCGCAGCGAUGCGUUGAGCUAACCGGUACUAAUGAACCGUGAGG
rnacentral:rRNA from 1 species